rnacentral:rRNA from 1 species
UGCAGUCGAGCGGACUUGAGAGAAGCUUGCUUCUCUGAUGGUUAGCGGCGGACGGGUGAGUAACACGUAGGCAACCUGCCCUCAAGUUUGGGACAACUACCGGAAACGGUAGCUAAUACCGAAUAGUUGUUUUCUUCUCCUGAAGAGAACUGGAAAGACGGAGCAAUCUGUCACUUGGGGAUGGGCCUGCGGCGCAUUAGCUAGUUGGUGGGGUAACGGCUCACCAAGGCGACGAUGCGUAGCCGACCUGAGAGGGUGAUCGGCCACACUGGGACUGAGACACGGCCCAGACUCCUACGGGAGGCAGCAGUAGGGAAUCUUCCGCAAUGGGCGAAAGCCUGACGGAGCAAUGCCGCGUGAGUGAUGAAUGUUUUCGGAUCGUACAGCUCUGUUGCCAGGGAACAACGCUUG